rnacentral:rRNA from 1 species
UACGUAGGUGGCAAGCGUUUGUCCGGAUUUAUUGGGUUUAAAGGGUGCGUAGGCGGUCCCUUAAGUCAGUGGUGAAAUACUCUAGCUCAACUAGAGAGGUGCCAUUGAUACUGAGGGACUUGAGUGAAGUCGAAGUAGGCGGAAUUGACGGUGUAGCGGUGAAAUGCUUAGAUAUCGUCAAGAACACCGAUAGUGAAGACAGCUUACUAGACUUAUACUGACGCUGAGGCACAAAAAGUGUGGGGAGUCAAACAGGAU